GUGAAGAACGUAGCGAAAUGCGAUAAGUAAUGCGAAUUGCAGAAUCCGUGAGUCAUCGAAUCUUUGAACGCACAUUGCGCCCUUUGGUAUUCCGAAGGGCAUGCCUGUUCGAGCGUCAUUAUCACCCCUCAAGCCCCGGCUUGGUGUUGGGCUCUCGGUGGUCGUCUCCGACCACCCGUCUCAAAGAUAGUGACGGCGUCCCAGAGGGAACCGGUACGAGGAGCUUUCACGAGCAUGUACGCGGGACGACUCUGCGGGCGACGGUCUUAUUUACUUUAUAUACAAGUGUUGACCUCGGAUCAGGUAGGAAUACCCGCUGAACUUAAGCAUAUCAAUAAGCGGAGGA
rnacentral:misc_RNA from 1 species